GAUGAAGAACGCAGCGAAAUGCGAUAAGUAGUGUGAAUUGCAGAAUUCAGUGAAUCAUCGAAUCUUUGAACGCACAUUGCGCCCCUUGGUAUUCCAUGGGGCAUGCCUGUUCGAGCGUCAUUUGUACCUUCAAGCUUUGCUUGGUGUUGGGCCGCGCCGGCAACGGCGGGCCUCAAAAACAGUGGCGGCGCCAUCUGGUCCCUCAGCGUAGUAAUUCUUCUCGCUGCUGGGCCCCGGUGGCCGCUUGCCAGCAACCCCAAACUUUCUAUGGUUGACCUCGGAUCAGGUAGGGAUACCCGCUGAACUUAAGCAUAUCAAUAAGCGGAGGA
rnacentral:misc_RNA from 1 species